UUGAAGCAAAAUAAAAUCCCAUUAAUAAAGUAUAUUGCAGUAUUGAGCCUAAUUACUUCACUAUUUUAGCAGUAUUAAUAAAUAAGUAGAUACUUAUAGUAGUUUUCAAAUAUCUUGGGUAUGGUGACAGCUGUCAUCUCCAUACAAUUUAUAACGUAAUCUUAAAACGCAAAAUCUUGCGAUAUUGUAUUAAGAUGACAUAUAACACCGUACACAAGAUAUUUGAAAAAUAUAUAUAAUAGUCCUAAUAAGUCUCCUGCAGACAUUUGCCUUCAGUUUACAGACGAACCACAAAAAACUUAUUACAUACAACGAAUAAUCGCUUUAAAAUUACUUAAAAAAACUACUAAUACCAAACCUUUGUCUAUGAUCUGUUUUUAAUGACCGUUGUAAUGGCGUUCCAUUUUCAAAUUCAAAUUUUGAAAAAGGCAUGGCGCCGGCGCCGCGGCUGCGGUUUAAAAAAAAUAUAGUCAUUUCUGUUUCCGGGUAGGGGUUGGGUUUGGAUUCCGCUGGCAGAAAAAAAAACCCUUUUUUGUCUUUUAAAUAAAUGUAUAUAUGAAAGAUUUAUUUUUAUACGAUAAUUUAAUUGUUUUAGAGCAAUAACUUAAUGAAAUUGACUGAAAUUGAUUGAUUGAAGAGCUCAACGAGGGUGUGGAGUGUCCUCUGGAGUCACCGGCGUCCGUAGGCUACGGAGAAUGCUUACCAUCAGGCGGGCCGUAUGCUUCUUAGCCACUGUACGUACGAAAUAUUAUUUGAUAUUUACCAGUCGCUUUUCGGUGAAGGAAAAACAACGUGAGGAAACCGGACUAAUCCUAAUAAGGCCUAGUUUACCCUCUGGGUUGGAACGUCAGAUGGCAGUCGCUUUCGUAAAAACUAGUGCCUACGCCAAUUCUCGGGAUUAGUUGCCAAGCGGACCCCAGGCUCCCAUGAGCCGUGGCAAAAUGCCGGGACAACGCGAGGAAGAAGGAAGGAUAGAAUGAUUAUUUAUACCCCAGUUUUAGUGCCGGUUUACUGGAUAUAUGCCGGAUUCACUGUAGUGUAUUGUAUUAAUUACAAGCUUACUUUCACCUGACCGUUGUCUGUUUGUAAUCAAAUCUUGCAAGUUAAAUUUGAUCCACUUCCCGGUUUCCGAUUGAGCUGAAAAUAUGCAUACAUAUGUAAGUCGGGUGACAAUGCAAUAUUAUGGUACCAUCGAGCUGAUCUGAUGAUGGAGACAAGAGGUGGACAUAGGAACUCUGUGAUAAAACAACGCAACCUAAUUGUGUUUGGGGUUUUUAGAAUUUGCUCGAUGAGUAUUAGUUGCCUGUGGAAAGAAAAGUACAGUCAGCGAUAAAAGCUUGUACCAAAAAUGAAAUUUUUGCCAAAAACUUUUUAGAAAGUGGUUUACCCUCGAUAUAUUUUGGAACUAUUGAGAAUUGAUAAAACCGUUGCGCUAUUUUAUAGGUAAUUAAUAAUCGUUUUAAUUGACUUACAAGCGACCCGCCCCAGCUUCUCAUGAGUUACACAACCUUAACAAAUAAUACACCUAAACCUUCCAAAAGAAUCACUCUAUCCAUAGGUACCUAAAAGUCGAAUGAAAAUCCGUUCAGUCCUUUUUGAGUUUAUUGCGAACAUAAGUUGCCGUUUGCCGUGUUUUUUUUUACUAUUGAUCAGCGGGUGACUAAGCUUUCUUAUUCUAAACAAAAAAAAAUAUGAUGAACAACUACAUAAACACGACGUUUUCUUAAAUCGUUUAUUUUUUAUCUCUUUGUUAACUUAAACACCCUGUAGCUCCUAAACUAUUGAUCGUAGAGUAAAAAUAUUUUUUUGAAAUUUUGUAGAAAAUAUUAUGUACAAACUUUUGUGGUAAUGAUAAUGAUUUUCGAUCAGAUAUUCGAAAUAUGAGCAAAAUCUGAAAAAACCGGACAAGUGCGAGUCGGACUCGCCCACCGAGGCUUCCGUACUUUUUAGUCACAACGAAAGGCGGGAGGGGGUUAGGGUCGGCAACGCGCAUGUAGCUCCUCUGGAGUUGCAGGCGUACAUAGGCUACGGAUACUGCUUACCAUCAGGCGGGCCAUAUGCUGUUUGCCACCGAUGUAGUAUAAAAAAAAUAGUAUAGUAUUUGUUGUUAUAGCGGCAACAGAAAUACAUCAUCUGUGAAAAUUUCAACUGUCUAGCUAUCACGGUUUAUGAGAUACAGCCUGGUGACAGACGGACGGACGGACAGCGAAGUCUUAGUAAUAGGGUCCCGUUUUACCAUUUGGGUACGGAACCCU